rnacentral:rRNA from 1 species
UACAUGUGGGGCAAGCGUUGUUCGGAAUUACUGGGCAUAAAGGGUGCGUAGGCGGUUUGUUAAGUCACUGGUGAAAGUUUUCGGCCCAACCGGAAAAUUGCCUGUGAUACUGGCGAACUUGAGUGCGUGAGGGGUGGGGGGAACGAGCAGUGUAGCGGUGAAAUGCGUUGAUAUUGGAAGGAACGCCGGUGGCGAAAGCGACCUGCUGGACCUCUUCUGACGCUGAGGCGCGAAAGCCAGGGGAGCGAACGGG